AGCUCCGAUAGCGUAUAUUAAAGUUGUUGCAGUUAAAAAGCUCGUAGUUGAACUUCUGCUCUAAGGGCGCUCACUUUUAUGUUGAGUUGUUUCUUUGGAGCAUCCCCUUAGAUGACGUUACAUGCACUUUGUUGGGCAGUAUCGAAAUCUAGGAAUUUACUUUGAAAAAUUAGAGUGUUUCAAGCAGGCGAUUAGCUGGAAUACAUUAGCAUGGAAUAAUAGAAUAUGACCUUCAUAUCAUUUUAUUGGUCAUGAUAAGAAGGUAAUGAUUAACAGGGACAGUUGGGGGCAUUAGUAUGGCUUUGUCAGAGGUGAAAUUCAUUGAUUAUCGCCAGACUAACUUAUGCGAAAGCAUUUGCCAAGGAUGUUUUCAUUAAUC
rnacentral:rRNA from 1 species